AUGUGUUGGAAGAAAAAACCGGGCUACCCAAGCAGUGACUUGCUCAUACUCAAUAAACAGUUCAUGCAGACAGAUGCAGCCCGGUGUGUUGAUGUAGACCAGACCGCAAGAGAUGGACGACAAAGGCGACCACAACAUCAGAAGCAGCUCGGACAGAUGAGUCGACCGCGGCAUUCGCAGGGGCGUAGAAAGGGAGCAGCCUGCAGGGCCAGGGCGACCGGUUCAGAAGCAAUUCACUGGCAAGGCCGCGGCGUAGAGCAGUUUGCAGGCGAACGACAAGCCGAGGCCGAUGAGGUGUGCGGGGGCGGCUCGCGAGCAGAGGCAUUAGGCAGCAACACCGAUGCUUCACGGUGGAACGGCUCAGUGCUCACUUCGGCGGUGAGGCGGAUGAGGCCGUAG
rnacentral:rRNA from 1 species